AGCAUUGUGGGAGGGCGACGCGUUCUUUCUCUGCUCUCACGCGGCGCGUAGUAUGGGUUUCCUGGUAGCUGGGGCUUGGGAGGUGGCUGUGGCCUGCUAUCUAGCGUGUCCGCGGUAGACUUUGGCCUACGUCCCCUUCCCGGGAAAUCGGGGGAUGGCCCUAACUCGGUGGCCGCGUGAGGAGCACGGCCCGCCGGACCCCGCGUGAAGUGGGUCGGUGUGGAAGCCGAGCUCCGUUUGCGACGUAGAUCUCCGCCGCAUGCCCAGGCGCACAACUGGGCGGAAAUGGCGCGGACAUCCAAGUCACAAGGUAGGUGUCUGAAGCUGACGGAUAACUUCCAGAACGACACGCGGGAGCACAGAGUGGCUUAAGGAUGUCCUCGAUGAUUUGGAAAUUGGAUCUUAAGAGGCAUGGGUGACUUAAAGUGUGUCAAAACUCCACAGAUGGACGUACACUUGUAACAAGGCUGUGAAUAAAUACGUUGAUAUGCCGUUCUGAG
rnacentral:lncRNA from 1 species